GUUGAGACUAUAGGUGCUGAGCCUGGACUGGGUGUUUACUGAUGCUUUCCUGGCCUGAAGCCAGAAUCUGCCCCAAAGCCAGAAUGCCCCUGGGUUGGAGCGGUUUCAUAUUCUACUCAAUGGAGAGAGGGGUCCCUCCCUGUCCCUUCUGGGACAACUGUGGAAUCCCAAGAGAUUAGCAGUUUGGAAGCACUUUGUAAACAAAGGUUUUAGAUAAACACAGGA